rnacentral:rRNA from 1 species
AACUCAAAGGAAUUGACGGGGGCCCGCACAAGCGGUGGGAGCAUGUGGUUUAAUUCGAAGCAACGCGCAGAACCUUACCAACCCUUGACAUGGGUAUCGCGGAACCAGAGAUGGUUCUUUCAGUUCGGCUGGAUACCACACAGGUGCUGCAUGGCUGUCGUCAGCUCGUGUCGUGAGAUGUUCGGUUAAGUCCGGCAACGAGCGCAACCCACACUCUUAGUUGCCAUCAUUCAGUUGGGCACUCUAGGAGAACUGCCGGUGAUAAGCCGGAGGAAGGUGUGGAUGACGUCAAGUCCUCAUGGCCCUUACGGGUUGGGCUACACACGUGCUACAAUGGUGGUGACAAUGAGUUAAUCUCAAAAAGCCAUCUCAGUUCGGAUUGUCGCCUGCAACUCGGCGGCAUGAAGUCGGAAUCGCUAGUAAUCGCGUAACAGCAUGACGCGGUGAAUACGUUCCCGGGCCUUGUACACACCGCCCGUCACACCAUGGGAAUUGGAUCUACCCGAAGGUGGUGCGCCAACCUGCAAAGGAGGCAGCCAACCACGGUAGGUUCAGUGACUGGGGUGAAGUCGUAACAAGGUAGCCGUAAAGGGCGAAUUCUGCAGAUAUCCAUCACACUGGCGGCCGCUCGAGCAUGCAU